rnacentral:rRNA from 1 species
GAGAGUUAAACAGUACGUGAAAUUGUUGAAAGGGAAACGAUUGAAGCCAGUCGUACCUUCGGGUAAUCAGCCUUUCGGGUGCGAUUCUGUGGAGUGUGAGGAGUUAAACACCUUCAUGUUUUGCAUAUUCGUACUCUUGGGUGUACUUGCCCGUGUGGUUGGUUAACAUCAAUUUUGGUGGUCAUAAAAUGACUGGAGGAAUGUAGCUUCGAUCUUGUAUUGAAGUGUUAUAGCCUUCGGUAGAUGUGAUGAUCGAGAUUGAGGAUUGCAACGGAUACCCUUCGGGGCUACCUGUCUGAUCUCUGAUCGUUGCUUUGGUGCCGAAAGCUUGCUUACGGUUAUCAAAGUCGAUGGUCAAUAGGUUAGAACGGGUUAAAUUCGUUAAGGAUGUUGACGUAAUGGCUUUAAACGA